UUUGGUAAAUAGUUGAUUUGUAUGUUCUCUGUAACUGGCAUGAUGUAGGAUUCUCAAGGCUCUUUUUUGGAGUAUAAACAGGGGAUAAGUAGUGGUUUUGUAAGUGUGUCCCCAGACCUCUGCGCAGUAUUGCAGGUGUGGAGAGACUAGUGCGCAGUACAACAAGUACAGUGCCUUCUGGUUUAAUAGUUUUUGUGCCCUCCAAAGUAUGGAAGACGACACUUGCUGUAGUCUUGUGUGUCGUCGUCACUCUGAAACAACACUUUCAGAAACAACCAUGGGUCGUUAUGGUGUGGCUGUUCUGGCUCUGCUCGUUCUCCUGAUGCUUUAUAUUGCAGAGAACGAGGCUCUGUCUUGCAGCGGAAUCCGUGGGACAACAUGUAGAUCUGAGUGUCUGUCAUAUGAAUAUGCAGUAAGUGUGGGCUGCGGCGACCAACUGUGUUGCUAUUAUGAAUAAUGGGCCUCAUUCAGACAGAGCUGGAAUCAGAUGGUUCGACAGACAGAAGAUGAUGUCAUUCACUCUACUGACCUCGAAAUAUUCAAAUCAAUUCUUCUGCUGAUUUCAGUUCAGGUGGAAU